GCCGGGCGCGUUGGCACAUGCCUGUAGUCCCAGCUACUCAGGAGGCUGAGGCUGGAGGAUUACUUGAGCCCAGGAGUUCUGGGUUGUAGUGCGCUAUGCCCAUUGGGUGUCUGCACUAAGUUCGGCAUCAAUAUGGUGUCCUCCCAGGAGCAGGGGACCACCAGAUUGCUUAAGGAGGGGUGAACCGGCCAGGUCAGAAAUGGAGCAGGUGAAAACUCCCAUGCUGAUCAGUAGUGGGAUCGGCCUGUGAAUAGCCAUUGUACUCCAGCCUGCACAACAUAGCAAGACCCCAUCUCA
ensembl:misc_RNA Metazoa_SRP Metazoan signal recognition particle RNA